rnacentral:rRNA from 1 species
UUUCGCAAUGCCCGAAAGGGUGACGAAGCGACGCCGCGUGCGGGAAGAAGGCCUUCGGGUUGUAAACCGCUGUCGGGAGUUAAGAAAUGUAAGGAUGUUAAUAGCAUCUUUGCUUGACUAAGGCUCCGGAGGAAGCCACGGCUAACUCUGUGCCAGCAGCCGCGGUAAUACAGAGGCGGCAAGCGUUGUUCGGAAUUAUUGGGCGUAAAGAGCACGUAGGCGGCUAUGUAAGUCGGUUGUGAAAGCCUUCCGCUCAACGGGAGAACAGCAUCCGAUACUGCAUGGCUUGAGUGCGGGAGGGGAGAGUGGAACUUCUGGUGGAGCGGUGAAAUGCGUAGACAUCAGAAGGAACGCCGGCGGCGAAAGCGGCUCUCUGGCCCAUAACUGACGCUGAGUGUGCGAAAGCUAGGGGAGCAAACGGGAUUAGAUACCCCGGUAGUCCUAGCCGUAAACGAUGGGCACUAAGUAGAGGGGUUUU